rnacentral:lncRNA from 1 species
CUAGCAUAAGCAAAGGCAUCAGAAUCUGGUUCUUCCUAGCAUUAUGGAGCCUGACAAGAAAAGAAAUUAGGCAAAAACCAGUCCAUAUUACCUAGGAUUGAAAGUUAGAAGAAUAUCAUACCUUGACAUGACGCUUGCCCACACUAGGAAGCCUGUUAUUCAGGAAACCUUUGGAUGGUAAGUAAUAACGGAAAGUAGUCAUUUUACUACAUCAUUUGUGUUGGACGUGACACCAAGGUCAGAGGCCACAACUUUAGU